rnacentral:rRNA from 1 species
UACGUAGGGACCAAGCGUUGUUCGGAUUUACUGGGCGUAAAGGGCGCGUAGGCGGCAAUUCAAGUCAUCUGUGAAAUCUCCGGGCUUAACUCGGAACGGUCAGAUGAUACUGCUUUGCUAGAGUGCAGAAGGGGCAAUCGGAAUUCUUGGUGUAGCGGUGAAAUGCGUAGAUAUCAGGAGGAAUACCGAUGGCGAAGGCAGGUCUCUGGGCUGACACUGACGCUCAUGCACGAAAGCGUGGGGAGCAAACAGG